UACGUAGGGGCCUAGCGUUGUCCGGAUUUAUUGGGCGUAAAGAGCUCGUAGGCGGCUUGUUGCGUCGACCGUGAAAACCCGUGGCUUAACUGCGGGCUUGCGGUCGAUACGGGCGGGCUGGAGUUCGGUAGGGGAGACUGGAAUUCCUGGUGUAGCGGUGAAAUGCGCAGAUAUCAGGAGGAACACCGGUGGCGAAGGCGGGUCUCUGGGCCGAUACUGACGCUGAGGAGCGAAAGCGUGGGGAGCGAACAGG
rnacentral:rRNA from 1 species